rnacentral:rRNA from 1 species
UAAGCAGAGGUCUCAAGCGUUGUUCGGAUUCAUUGGGCGUAAAGGGUGCGUAGGCGGCGCGGUAAGUCGGGUGUGAAAUUUCGAGGCUUAACUUCGAAACUGCAUUCGAUACUGCCGUGCUUGAGGACUGGAGAGGAGACUGGAAUUUACGGUGUAGCGGUGAAAUGCGUAGAUAUCGUAAGGAAGACCCAGUGGCGAAGGCGGGUCUCUGGACAGUUCCUGA